rnacentral:rRNA from 1 species
AGACAGCAGUAGCCGCGGGAAUACGUAGGGUGCAAGCGUUAAUCGGAAUUACUGGGCGUAAAGCGUGCGCAGGCGGUUUGUUAAGACAGAUGUGAAAUCCCCGGGCUCAACCUGGGAACUGCAUUUGUGACUGGCAAGCUAGAGUCUGGCAGAGGGGGGUGGAAUUCCGCGUGUAGCAGUGAAAUGCGUAGAUAUGCGGAGGAACACCGAUGGCGAAGGCAGCCCCCUGGGCCAACACUGACGCUCAGGUGCGAAAGCGUGGGGAGCAAACAGGAUUAGAUACCCGGGUAGUCCCUGUCUCUUAUAC